rnacentral:lncRNA from 1 species
UGGGGAUGGGGAUGGAUAAUGGGAAGAUGGAAGGCUUGAGACCUCUUUCCUGGCUAUCUCCUUUACUCACUCCUUUCAUGGAUUGAAUUAUUCAUUUUAAAGCUAAAAAAUCUUCAACAAAUUAUCUAGUCUAGACUUUCACCUUCAAAGGGUUCGAUAUUACUUCCCCAUUUCACAGAUGAGGCUACACAAGUUAACCAACUUGAUCGAGAUCUCCCAGGCAGAACAGGUUGAAAAGGGCAUGAGGAAGAAGGUCUUUCGCCCUGGGUAGGGGAGAUGGGGGUUAAUCUCUCUCUAUGCAAUCAGGCUCUAAAAUUGGCUGCUUCCCGGAACAGAAACGGCAGGAGUUGGCAUCAGAAUGCAGCAACUUGAUUCCUGGCUACUUACCAGUUCCGUGACCUGAGUUGUCUUUCAGGAGGUGUAGCCUGGUUGUGGCCUGGGGAGUUUGGCUGUUCUGUGUGGUGUGCCUCCACGGUGUGGUCUCCAGUGAGCUGCUCAGCAGGUGUAGACCCGGGCAGGGCGAAGCUCUCUGGGCUGUUGACUGUGAGGCCCCUCCCCACCGGUAGAUUUCCAAGCCUCUUCAGUUUUGCAUUCAGCCACAGCAGAAUCCGAAUGAAUACUGAGUGCUAAAGGAAGAUUUUUAGGUUGAAUGAAAAGGAUAUUGAAUAGAAACUUGGACUUAUAAGAGUUUCAGAAAUGGUAAACUCCUCCAGGGCAGGACCUGACUCUUCAGAGGAAUUUUUUAAUCCCCCUCCCCAGAAGUGCCCACGUCAAGGCCAUAGUAGAGAAGGAGCUCAAGAGCAAUCCCUAAGCAACCACGCUUGGAAGCAUCCUGCAACAGAGGGAUUUGUUCCAGACUCAGAUUUAAUCCACUAUUACCUUUUCGUAAGACAAGUGUUGUCUGAAGGAGUCUGUGUGUAAUUUUGAGACAAAAGGAUUGCAGAACUCAGCUCCCAGGUUGUCUCAUAUCUGAUUCUUCGAAAGAGGAAAAGAAGCGAACUCUUCUGCACAAUAGCUGAGCAGAUAGGAGAGAAAAAGCUUGAAGAUUCACAGUGGAGCAAGGCUAAUUGGAGCCUUCCUCAGAGCAGCUCAACUAUCCCAGUUUUACCUAUCCCAUUCCUUGCCAUUCCCACUUGUAAUUCUGUCUUGGCAAGAACACCAUACUGAAGGUUCUUAAAGCAGUUUGUAGACUUUAAUUAGUUCUGUGGAAAGUCAGUCAAAGCUCAGCCUUCAUUCUGCCAACAGAGACAACAGUGGUGGGUGUGGAAGGAAGGCAAGAAGAAGAUGGACACCCAGAGCAGUUGUGCAACUUACUGAAGGCCAUGUGGAUAGGAGGAACUGGGUUUAAAACCCCUGAGUCUUGAUAAAAGUGUCUUAGCCUUCUAGAUUCCUAAACAGGUAGUGGGCUCAUCCUACUAACCUACUUUGCUAGGGUGUUGUUGAUGAAUGCUUAUAAACCCUGUCCUAGAUGAUAGGUUUGGAAGAUUGUUAAAGAAAGCAUGUCAUUAAGUCCCUACUCACCCCCUCCUUGACAAAUAGCCCUGGAGGGAAAUGAAUAUUAGCCAGAAUCGUAGGGCCUCCACUUCAAUGGAAUGAACUGAGAUUCAACAACAAGAGAAAUGUUCCAACAGUGAGGGAAAUCAACAAUGUGCUGGGGGUGAAGGGUAGGGGUUGGGAAGGCCUAAACAGGUGACCAUUGCCAGACAGCCCAGACAAGAUCAUCACAGAAUAGCUGAUUCCCAUUAGACACUGUGGGUGAUCAUUAUCUUAAAAUUCAGGACACUAUUUUUGUAGUAGUUUCCCUUCCUCUCUUUGUAAGAGCAGAAGACCUCUCUGGGGCCUAUCACAAGACAAGCGGGUGUUUGCAAAUGAGGGACGUACUUUGAGACUGAAUUGCUCUGUGCUUCUCUAAAAGACAUGGUUAAGAGUUUGGGCGCUGAUGUUAGAGACUGAGAUUAAAAUCCUUCCUUGCCACUUCCAUCAGUAUAAAUUUGGAUAAGUUUCUUAACUUCUCUAAGCCUUGAUUUUCUCACCUAUAAAAUGGGCCUAAUAAUAGUGCCUAACUUAGAGGUUUGUUGUAAAGGUUAAAUGCAAUUAUUCAGGUAAAGCCUUAAUGGAGCCUGAUAUGUAGUAAGCACUCAAUCCAUUUUAUCUACUGACUCUUUUCUCUGUGUGGGUUACCCACUUUGGAGAUUGUCCCCAGUAAUUUCUUUGGUCAAGUCUUGAUCUCCCUGGCCCCUUGGCUGUCUUCUCCCACCAUGAUCAGUGAGAAGUUGAGGAGCACUAAUACCAAAUUCUUUUUCAUGUUAGUUAGGAGAAAGCAGAAUUACGAAGGUCAACCUGCUGGUGUAAAAAAAUAUUACAUAGAUUAGCCCUGCUCUACAUAUUAGAUAUGUUCUCAAAAUGCCUAAGUGGCCUUUUUUUUUUUUUUUAAUUUAAGUUCUAGGGUACAUGUGCACAACGUGCAGGUUUGUUACAUGUGUAUACAUGUGCCAUGUUGGUGUGUGGCACCCAUUAACUUGUCAUUUACAUUAGGUAUAUCUCCUAAUGCUAUCCCUCCCACCCCCACCCCCUGGCAGGCCCUGGUGUGUGAUGUUCCCCACCCUGUGUCCAUGUGUUCUCGUUGUUCAAUUCCCACCUAUGAGUGAGAACACACGUGUUUGGGUUUUUGUCCUUGCGAUACUUUGCCAAGAAUGAUGGUUUCCAGCUUCAUCCAUGUCCCUACAAAGGACAUGAACUCAUCAUUUUUAUGGCUGCAUAGUAUUCCAUGGUGUAUAUGUGCCACAUUUUCUUAAUCCAGUCUAUCAUUGAUGGACAUUUGGGUUGGUUCCAAGUCUUUGCUAUUAUGAAUAGUGCCACAAUAAACGUAUGUGUACCUGUGUCUUUAUAACAGCAUGAUUUAUAAUCCUUUGGGUAUGUGCCCAGUAAUGGGAUGGCUGGGUCAAAUGGUAUUUCUAGUUCUAGAUCCUUGAGGAAUUGCCUAAGUGGCCAUGUUUAUAUUGGGUAAUCUUUAAAUGACUUUAUUUGCAAGUCUGAGUAAUAUACUCAUAGAAACAAGAAUCACAGUUAAGGGAAGGGAAACUAAUAUUUGAGCUUGAGACACUUUCCAUAUCCAAGUCCAAUUGAAUCCUCCCAAUCACCCAAUAAAGAGAUCUUAUUAUUCCCAUUUUAUAUGUUAAACAACCAAAACUCAGAGAGGUUAAUUAAUACUCUCAAAAUCACUCUUCUAGGGGUGGUGGAGCCUAAGUUUGAAUGCAGCUCUGGCUCCCAAACCUGUCCAUUUUCUACUAUGUCAUGCUCAAAGGCAUAUUCUGCUUUUGUCCAUUGUCAGCCUAUGUGCAUUUAAGUUUCCCACACAAAUUCAAGAAGAAUUUUAUCCAUCAAUUCACAUGACCUUGAGUAUUAAUUUAGUUUAAAAAUCUUUCCCCUUAUGAUUUAAAAAAUAUUCACUUUAAGAAAUUAUCUGCCAUGUGCAGGAUUAUCAUAGGAUUAAAAAAAAAAAAGAAAUUAGCAGCCGGUUGUGGUGGUUCAUGCCUGUAAUCCCAGCACUUUGGGAGACUGAGGUGGGAGCAUUGCUUGAGGCCAGGAGUUCAAGACCAGCCUGGGUAGCAUAGUGAGACUCUGCCUCUACAAAAAAUUAAAAAUUAGCCAAGCAUGGUGACACACGCCUGUAGUCCCAGCUACUCAGGAGGCUGAGGCAAGAAGAUUACUUGAGCCCAGAAGGUUGAGGCUGCAGUGAGCUAUGACCACUACAUUCCAAUCUGGGUGAGGGGUGAGAGAAGAAAGAAAGAUAAAGAAGGAAAGAAAGAAAGUAAGAAAGAGAAGGAAAAAGGAGAAGGA